UACAGAGGGGGCAAGCGUUGUUCGGAAUUACUGGGCGUAAAGGGCGCGUAGGCGGCCUUCUAAGUCGAACGUGAAAUCCCCGGGCUCAACCCGGGAACUGCGUCCGAUACUGGAAGGCUUGAAUCCGGGAGAGGGAUGCGGAAUUCCAGGUGUAGCGGUGAAAUGCGUAGAUAUCUGGAGGAACACCGGUGGCGAAGGCGGCAUCCUGGACCGGUAUUGACGCUGAGGCGCGAAAGCCAGGGGAGCAAAGGGG
rnacentral:rRNA from 1 species